rnacentral:tRNA from 1 species
AUUUAAGUAGUUUAAUUAAAAUUUUGAUUUGUGGAAUCAAAGAUAUAAAGUUUUAUCUUAAAUA